UGGCCAGCCUGAUCACAUACUCCGCUCACUUAAGGGAAAUUGACCUCGGAAACAAUGUCCUGGGAGAAAUGGCUGCUGCUGACAUACUUGAAGCACUGAGAGCCAGAAAGACAGGUAAACUCCCAGUCUUAAAAAUUAUAAUCACUCCUCAAGUCUCUUCAGACAUCUUCAGAUCUGUUUGGAAAAAUAGCAAGAAAUCUAGUAUUACCCAUAAAAAGAAGAAAGAGGUUAAAAACUGAAUGUGGAUGCCAUUUAUCUUUAUGGAUGCUAUCUAUUACCAUGGCCAACCGGACAUGUGUAAAAAGAUAUUGCUUGUUCUAUAAUAAUAGUUUUCACUGGAACCAAGCCCCUUUCAAGUUCUAAAAUUUGAUGACUAAUUUAUGUAAGUUCAAAGUAGUGUUAAUCCUAUUAUGCUUGUCAUUUUCUAAAAUGAGGGUUUCAGAAGCUGGCCUUAGUAAAUACAGGUAGGAUUCUUCUCUGGUGCUUCUCACGUGCAUGUGAAAUUUAUAACUUGAAGGAAGUCACGAUCUUUAUCUAAGAAAGAAAGAAUUUUCUUUUGUAAGUGUAUCUAUAGUUGGGAACAAUAGGCAUAUUUGGAAAUAAUCACUUCCUGAAAGACAACAUCCCCCCAAAUGGGGAUCUUCCCCAAAUGAGGUAAUUUCUAAUCACUUUAACCGCCCCCCCCCCAAUGAAGAUGUCUGCUCCAUGGGAAAGAGAAGAGGUGUGAUUGACCAACGUACGGAUGAUAAAUUGGAUUAGUUGAAAGUUAUAUGGCAUGACAAUAUGAUGCAGGGAUGAAAAGUGUGGACUGGGGAAUGAAGUGGACUGGAAUUCUCGGUGGAAAACUGCUGCUUUCCAGUUGUGUGACAUUGGCCAAGUGAGGCUUCACUGAGCCUCAGUUUUCCCUGAUAAGAUACAGAUAAGAAUAGCACCUGUCUCAUUUGGCGAGCUCUGAAUGAGAUGACACAUGUCAAGAAUUUUUGAACAAUACUUGUUUCAUAGUAUGUGCUCAAAUAUAAAUAUUAGUGGCAGUUAUUGUUGAUGUUAGAAUUGAAUGAUUCCAGUUAUUUCACUUGGAAAAGCUACACAAGAAAAAUAAAAAAGAAGAAAAACAGACUUAAGACCUUUCC
rnacentral:lncRNA from 1 species